GACGAACGCUGGCGGCGUGCUUAACACAUGCAAGUCGAACGGAAAGGCCCUGCUUUUGUGGGGUGCUCGAGUGGCGAACGGGUGAGUAACACGUGAGUAACCUGCCCUUGACUUUGGGAUAACUUCAGGAAACUGGGGCUAAUACCGGCUAGGAGCUCCUGCUUCAGGGUGGGGGUUGGAAAGUUUCGGUGGUUGGGAAUGGACUCGCGGCUUAUCAGCUUGUUGGUUGGGUAGUGGCUUACCAAGGCUUUGACGGGUAGCCGACCUGAGAGGGUGACCGGCCACAUUGGGACUGAGAUACGGCCCAGACUCCUCCGGGAGGCAGCAGUGGGGAAGAUUGCACAAUGGGCGGAAGCCUGAUGCAGCAACGCAGCGUGCGGGAUGACGGCCUUCGGGUUGUAAUCCGCUUUCGCCUGUGACGAAGCGUGAGUGACGGUAAUGGGUAAAGAAGCACCGGCUAACUACGUG
rnacentral:rRNA from 1 species